CUUCGGGGCGGGGCGCAAUUCCCCACCGGCGGUACAGCCCGCGAACCUUAUGGUACGAUCCGGUGAAAUUCCGGAGCCGACAGUAUAGUCUGGAUGAGAGAAG
rnacentral:ncRNA from 1 species